rnacentral:tRNA from 1 species
AGGCGCGUAGCUCAGCUGGUUAGAGUGCUUGCUCGACACGCAAGAAGUCGGCGGUUCAAGUCCGCCCGCGCCUA